CCACCUGAAUAUGGAAGAUGAGGUUGACAUCAUUUACUUGGACUUUAGGAAGGCCUUUGGCUUGGUGUCCCACAAAGCUCUCAAGAGGGUGGUAGAUGAUCAGUGGCUUUCCAUUGGUCUAAAAGAAGAAACAUCUGUUGCAGUCAUAAAAGACUUUGGUGAUCAAGUUUAAACACAUCCUGCGCUAGCAAUGCCUGAGAUCUAAUGACUGGAAAUUACAGAGGGAUCACUUUGCUGUCCACCACAGGAAAGUUCAUUGUGAGAACCCUCCUGAACCAUCUCCUUCCACUUGCUGAAGAGCUUCUCCUGGAAUCUCACUGUGGGUUUAGGGCAUCAAGAGGCACAACUGACAUGAUCUUCACUGCUUGCCAGCUGUAGCAAAAAUCCUAGGAACAACAUAAACCUCUGUAUGUGGCUUUCUUUGACCUCAUGAAAGCCUUCAGUUGUCGACCAAGAAGCACUGUGAAGGAUCCUUCUGAAGUACCGAUAUCCACCAGAAUUCAUCACCAUUCUUUGCCUGCUUCAUGAUGGUAUGUGAGUGAUGGUUCUCAAUGACAGAUCUAUCACAGACCCCUUUGAUGGAAGUUAAGCAAGGCUGUGUCAUUGCUCCAACACUCUCCUCUUGAUAUUCCUUACUGUGCUACUACAAGCUUCCAGUUGGAAUUGAACUAAACUACCGAAUGAAUGGUAAACUGUUUAAUUUCAGCUGACUCUGAGCCAAAACCAAGUCCACCUCAAACUCAAUCAUCGAGCUCCAGUACACUGAUAAUGUUGUAGUGUAUUCUCACUCAGAAGCAGACCAUCAGCAAAGAAUUGACAUCUUUACUGAGGCAUACAAGAAAAUGGGACUGAUGCUUAACAUUCAGAAGAGUAAGGUCCUCCAUCAACAAGCUCCAGUAAUUCAGAUUCACAAUGCGUGCAUAUACAUGAGAUGCUACAGUGCAGUAGCUCAUUGCUACAGCACCAUAGCAUUGCCAGGCACGAACCACAAUGGUGACACUACUGUGCAGUAGGAAUGAGCUGCUGCAUAAUAGUUCAUUGCUACUACACAGUAGCAUCUAAAAAAGUGCAAUGAUGGUACUGUGCAGUAAUGCUGGUUACUGCACAGUCAUUUAGUACUUGAUUAAGGAAGUACUAAACGACUGCACAGUAACAACUACACAGUCUGCCAUUAGUGUAGACGCGACCAAUGAGACUCUUGAGAACACUGACUAUUUCCCAUACCUCAGAAACCAUCUCUUGCAGAAGGUUGACAUUGAUGAAGAAAUCCAACAUUGCCACAGAUGUGCAAGUGCAGCCUUCACACACAUGAGGAAAUGGGUGUUUGAAGAUCAUGACAUCAGAGCUGAAACCAAACUCAUGGUUUAUCAAGCAGUUCUGAUCCCCACCCACCUUACUGUACUGAGCUGAGACAGACAGUAUACAGGAAACACCUCAAAUUGCUGGAGAAGUACUAUCAAUGCUGCUUGCAGAAGAUUCUUCAAAUCCAGUGGGUAGACAGACACACCAACAUUAGCGUCCUCUCUUCCGGAGGCUGAAGAGAUCUAGGGCCCUCAAUCUCUCCUUGUAGGGCUUUGCCUGCACGUCCUUAACCAUAUGACUGACUGUCUUCUGAACCCUCUCGAGGGUUCAGGGGUGAAUCUUGAAUGAUUCGCCUGUGCCCCUACUCCAUUCCCUCCUGCACUGUGUGGGGGUCUCUUCCCCCCUCCCCCCCCACCCUGCAAGCCCAGGGGUCAUAAAGAAAGCAGAUUAAAAGAAACUUCCCUGCCUGCUGAGCCGGCUGUGAUCCUGGCUGUGCAGGGUAUCUGAGUGUGUGUGCCCCUCCACCUCUGCAGCAGCAGCCUGUGGCCAGGCUGCCCUCUGGUCAUACCUACUGCCCUGCAUUUGGCGGGACUGAGUCCCACUAGCACCCUCCCUCCUGCUGCCUAUGAGGGCAGAGAAAGUGCUUCAAGGACAUCCUCAUGGACAACUUGAAAAAACGUAAGAUCAAUACCAACUUGUGAGAGGCUAUUGCCCAUGACUACCCCAAAUGGAGAAAGUCUGCUUCAAGGAUCUCAGUACUUUGAAAACUUAUGAUGACAACAGGAGAUGGAAAAAUGGAAACGGCACAACAAGUGCAUCAUGGACCAAAGCAAGAACCCAGAGCUACCCACCCUGCAUGGAAACGUGUGCCCGAGUUACAACAGAGUCUAUCAAUCCUGGAUAGGCCUCAUCAGCCAUCUUCAGACCCACAGAUAAGACGAUCAUGGAAGACAAUCAACCUCAACUGUGAAGGAUUGCUGAUGGUGAUUUCAUAGCCUUGGAAAGCUAUUUUCAACACCAUAGAUCCACUCUUGGAAACCUUCAGUAACAGCUAAGGUUUUAAUAUUAGUUAAGUAGGAAAGGGAGGAUAAAUCAGCUGAAGAUUAGGAAAUCUUUUUUCCUUCAUUUUGCUUUUCAAAAACCAAGGUGUGCAUUAUAUUUAUGGGUGUGGUGUAUGUGAGAAAAUAUGGUAUUCCCAUUAUAAAUCAUUGUAUUGCUAUAGUCAUGCACUACUUCCCUUACAAAACUGAGCAGUUCUAAAAAAAUAAAAAUCAUUAAGAUGUGAAACUAGAUGCUUAGUAAUCAUCUUAGUGGGGCAGAUUAUAACAUUCUUGCUCCCCAAGUAUAAUGUCCUAUAUUUGUUAUUAAUAUUUUUAUAACUUAGAUAUAAUAAAUACAUUUAAAAUAUUUUGACAGCAUUGGCUAGGUACAGACUUUACACAUAUUGUGCAUUAAGCAGGCAGAAAGUGCUCUAAAGUCAUAACUGAAUAGAUGUUCACAGCUCUUAGAGCACUUAAAACAGGGCAGAUCACACUCUAAAUUAAUCCUUGAUGGAUGUGUACUAAGCUAAAGCACUUUCUGCUAGAGCAUUUUAACAAAUGUCUGUACCAGAUCCCAUCAAAGGUUAACUUAGAGCACAACUGCUUUCAUCCCAGGCCACAUUGCACAGGGCUGUGCUCUAGCCUUGGGCAGAGCUUGUUUGCUCUGCCUGAGCCUGGGCUGGCCCCAUCCCAUUGGCCCUAAUCAAUGACAAACUCUGAUCUCAGCCCAGUGUGCAGCCUGGUAUGGGAUGGGGUGGGGAAAGGGAGUUUCUGUCCCCACAGCCUCCUCAGCCCCAUGGCACAGCCUGACUGGGAGGCUGUGGGGGAGGGCUCUGGGGUCUCUAUCCCCCCAGCUGCCCCUACUGGGCUGUGCCACAGCAGAACCCAGAUGGAGUGCCAUGGGGGUCACUCCCUGCCACAGCAGUCCCAGCUAGGCAGCUUCAUAGAUUCAUAAAUUGUAAGACUGGAAGGGACCUUGGAAAAUCAUUGGGUCCAGCCCCAAUGGCCAGCCCCCAGUGGCUCAGGGGGCUGUAAGAGAAGGGCUCCAGGGGUCUUCCCCCCGCCGCCCCCUCCGCCCCAGCUGCUGCUGACAGUCACCAGCUGGCAGCACGGGUGGGGGGCUAGGGAGAAGGGCCACUCCAGCAGCCUCCUGGGAGGUGUGUGGGCAGGCUCUGAGCCCUGCCCCACCCCCCACUGAACAGCAAACAUCUGUUUGGUUCACUUGUGUUCGAAGUUAUAGAGCAUUAAGUAAAGCGUGAUAGAGCACUUCUGCUAGGGGCUUUUUGAACAUCUGUACUUAGCUAUUUAUUUGAAAUACAGACAGCUCUCAUAUUGGUGUACCAGCCAGUGAGACAUUAAUAUUUCAAUUAGGGUAUGUGCUUCAGAAUCUCAUGAAGAAUCCUACAAGCACAUGGAACAAACUUUACUGGCACGGUUCCAAUGAGGCCACUCAGUUCAAUUACUUGUGAACACAUGUAUUUGCAGAAACAGGCUCAACAUGUUCUCACCAGGGACUUAGGAAGGUCAAACAACACUAUAACCCACAUCAAUAUAAAACAUUAUGCAACUCAGCACUAUAAGGUGACAACCAGUAUUGUCUUAGUGAAAAUUUAAGAACAUCACAAACUAAAGCAUAGUUCUUACAGAACAUAUACAAAACACCUAAAACUCUUAAGCCUAAUCUAGUUUAGAAAAGGUUUGAUGCCAUAGCUUUACAAAUACUCUUGUGCGCGGCUUAAAUUUAGACCAGUUUUCUGAAAAAUAUAAGCUAUAUCAGCAAAAACACUUUUCACUAGUAUAAGUGCACCUACACUAGGGCUUUAACUAAUAUAACAAUGUUCCUAAAAACUACCAUUUGCAAACCUACAAAGGUUUAAGUGGCCUUAGCUGCCUUUACUUACCGCAGUGAUAAAUUUGGCCCUUUUUGUUUCUUGACAUACAUAUUACAUGUAACAGAUAAGCAUAGAAUUUCUAUUUGUGAAAAAGAUCACUCAGCUUUAAUGCUCAGAACAGUUACCACAUUUAAUUUUUUUUUCAAUUGUCCUGUUAUGUCAGACAGAUGGGCUUGUGUAUUUUUAAAGUCCAAUAAAUGAAUGUAAAUUAAUUAACAGGAAUAUAACAAUAUAUUGAAAGCCACAGAAUUGUAUUACAAAUUGCAAGAAGUUGUUCCUAAAAAGAAGUAAAGAGACAGGAAGAGUUAGGUGAGUUGCAUUACUGAGCUUGCUAGUCCUAACUGUAUUAGUUUUCAACCAAUGGCUAACAUGGUUUCUAGAUGAAGUCACACAUUGAAUGCAUAUUACUACAUUGCACAAUAACAUAUGAUAAGCUUGGAGAAUGUGAUGUGUAGGUGUUUUUAAUCCAAGAGAACUUGACCUCUAGUUACCUUGGCUUGUUGAUCAUUUAUUUACACACAAUCUUGUUUUCAAGUACAUGCUGGUAGUUCUACAUUAGUAUGGCUUAGGUGUACUCAGUGAUUUUAUUGUCUCCUAAUGGUUUAUUAAUAAUUAUCAUCGUUGUCUGUGUGCUUAAAUUCUAGCAUUUGAGAUUCUUGUCAAACAGUCCCUAGCCCUUUCAAAGUAAAAAAGCAAGAGGUGGCUCAGCAGCAACAGGUGAAAGAUGAUACAUCUUAAGCAGCAAACUAGUAUCAAGAUGGCCAGAACCCAGUUCCCAUAACUGAAAUGUUUACUUCCUGCUUUCUCAUUCUGAGGUAUGUCUACAUUGAGAAAACAUACCAAAGGCAUGCAGAUACCAAUAAGUUCAUUGCAUGCGACCUUCUCCCAACCACAUUGUUUAUUGUACCACUUUACAAGCCACCAACAGUAUGCUUCUUGGAACUUGUGUUUGAUUCUAAAAUGUAUUCUAGAUUUCCUUGUGCAAUUGACUCGAAGAGCUGGAUUGGGAACAACAUGAAUGCUGUCUUGCCACUUUCAAAUCAAAUAUGCUAUCAAAAAGCAUGCUUCCAACAUGAUCCAAACUACAUGGGCUGAGGUUGGUGGUUAACAGUGAUCAGUUCAACUCCAUGUAAACUAGUUUGUGCCAGUUUCAAGAAAUAAAAAGAAUGUAUUGUGACAUGUUGCCUGAUGGAGAAACUGUACAACAAAGAGAACAAGAAAAUAAACUACAUUUGAUUCAUGAGA